rnacentral:rRNA from 1 species
GAUGAACGCUGGCGGCGUGCCUAAUACAUGCAAGUCGAGCGAACGGACGAGAAGCUUGCUUCUCUGAUGUUAGCGGCGGACGGGUGAGUAACACGUGGAUAACCUACCUAUAAGACUGGGAUAACUUCGGGAAACCGGAGCUAAUACCGGAUAAUAUUUUGAACCGCAUGGUUCAAAAGUGAAAGACGGUCUUGCUGUCACUUAUAGAUGGAUCCGCGCUGCAUUAGCUAGUUGGUAAGGUAACGGCUUACCAAGGCAACGAUGCAUAGCCGACCUGAGAGGGUGAUCGGCCACACUGGAACUGAGACACGGUCCAGACUCCUACGGGAGGCAGCAGUAGGGAAUCUUCCGCAAUGGGCGAAAGCCUGACGGAGCAACGCCGCGUGAGUGAUGAAGGUCUUCGGAUCGUAAAACUCUGUUAUGAGGGAAGAACAUAUGUGUAAGUAACUGUGCACAUCUUGACGGUACCUAAGCAGAAAGCCACGGCUAACUACGU